rnacentral:tRNA from 2 species
AGGAGAGUAGCAUAACGGUAGUGCAUCGGUCUCCAAAACCGACGGUUGCAGGUUCGAAUCCUGUCUCUCCUG